GGUUAAGCGACUAAGCGUACACGGUGGAUGCCCUGGCAGUCAGAGGCGAUGAAGGACGUGCUAAUCUGCGAAAAGCGUCGGUAAGGUGAUAUGAACCGUUACAGCCGGCGAUGUCCGAAUGGGGAAACCCAGUGUGAUUCGUCACACUAUCGUUAACUGAAUACAUAGGUUAACGAGGCGAACCGGGGGAACUGAAACAUCUAAGUACCCCGAGGAAAAGAAAUCAACCGAGAUUCCCCCAGUAGCGGCGAGCGAACGGGGAGCAGCCCAGAGUCUGAAUCAGCUUGUGUGUUAGUGGAACGGUCUGGAAAGUCCGACGGUACAGGGUGAUAGUCCCGUACACCAAAAUGCACAGGUUGUGAACUCGAAGAGUAGGGCGGGACACGUGGUAUCCUGUCUGAAUAUGGGGGGACCAUCCUCCAAGGCUAAAUACUCCUGACUGACCGAUAGUGAACCAGUACCGUGAGGGAAAGGCGAAAAGAACCCCGGCGAGGGGAGUGAAAAAGAACCUGAAACCGUGUACGUACAAGCAGUGGGAGCACCUUCGGGUGUGACUGCGUACCUUUUGUAUAAUGGGUCAGCGACUUAUAUUCUGUAGCAAGGUUAACCGUAUAGGGGAGCCGCAGGGAAACCGAGUCUUAACUGGGCGUUAAGUUGCAGGGUAUAGACCCGAAACCCGGUGAUCUAGCCAUGGGCAGGUUGAAGGUUGGGUAACACUAACUGGAGGACCGAACCGACUAAUGUUGAAAAAUUAGCGGAUGACUUGUGGCUGGGGGUGAAAGGCCAAUCAAACCGGGAGAUAGCUGGUUCUCCCCGAAAGCUAUUUAGGUAGCGCCUCGUGAAUUCAUCUUCGGGGGUAGAGCACUGUUUCGGCUAGGGGGUCAUCCCGACUUACCAACCCGAUGCAAACUACGAAUACCGAAGAAUGUUAUCACGGGAGACACACGGCGGGUGCUAACGUCCGUCGUGAAGAGGGAAACAACCCAGACCGCCAGCUAAGGUCCCAAAGUCAUGGUUAAGUGGGAAACGAUGUGGGAAGGCACAGACAGCCAGGAUGUUGGCUUAGAAGCAGCCAUCAUUUAAAGAAAGCGUAAUAGCUCACUGGUCGAGUCGGCCUGCGCGGAAGAUGUAACGGGGCUAAACCAUGCACCGAAGCUGCGGCAGCGACACUAUGUGUUGUUGGGUAGGGGAGCGUUCUGUAAGCCUGCGAAGGUGACCUGUGAGGGUUGCUGGAGGUAUCAGAAGUGCGAAUGCUGACAUAAGUAACGAUAAAGCGGGUGAAAAGCCCGCUCGCCGGAAGACCAAGGGUUCCUGUCCAACGUUAAUCGGGGCAGGGUGAGUCGACCCCUAAGGCGAGGCCGAAAGGCGUAGUCGAUGGGAAACAGGUUAAUAUUCCUGUACUUGGUGUUACUGCGAAGGGGGGACGGAGAAGGCUAUGUUAGCCGGGCGACGGUUGUCCCGGUUUAAGCAUGUAGGCUGAUUGUCCAGGCAAAUCCGGAUAAUCAAGGCUGAGGUGUGAUGACGAGGCACUACGGUGCUGAAGUAACAAAUGCCCUGCUUCCAGGAAAAGCCUCUAAGCAUCAGGUAACAUUAAAUCGUACCCCAAACCGACACAGGUGGUCAGGUAGAGAAUACCAAGGCGCUUGAGAGAACUCGGGUGAAGGAACUAGGCAAAAUGGUGCCGUAACUUCGGGAGAAGGCACGCUGGUGUGUAGGUGAAGCCCCUGCGGGUGGAGCUGAGACCAGUCGAAGAUACCAGCUGGCUGCAACUGUUUAUUAAAAACACAGCACUGUGCAAACACGAAAGUGGACGUAUACGGUGUGACGCCUGCCCGGUGCCGGAAGGUUAAUUGAUGGGGUUAUCCGUAAGGAGAAGCUCUUGAUCGAAGCCCCGGUAAACGGCGGCCGUAACUAUAACGGUCCUAAGGUAGCGAAAUUCCUUGUCGGGUAAGUUCCGACCUGCACGAAUGGCGUAAUGAUGGCCAGGCUGUCUCCACCCGAGACUCAGUGAAAUUGAACUCGCUGUGAAGAUGCAGUGUACCCGCGGCAAGACGGAAAGACCCCGUGAACCUUUACUAUAGCUUGACACUGAACAUUGAGCCUUGAUGUGUAGGAUAGGUGGGAGGCUUUGAAGCGUGGACGCCAGUCUGCGUGGAGCCAACCUUGAAAUACCACCCUUUAAUGUUUGAUGUUCUAACGUUGGCCCCUGACCGGGGUUGCGGACAGUGUCUGGUGGGUAGUUUGACUGGGGCGGUCUCCUCCCAAAGCGUAACGGAGGAGCACGAAGGUUAGCUAAUCCUGGUCGGACAUCAGGAGGUUAGUGCAAUGGCAUAAGCUAGCUUGACUGCGAGCGUGACGGCGCGAGCAGGUGCGAAAGCAGGUCAUAGUGAUCCGGUGGUUCUGAAUGGAAGGGCCAUCGCUCAACGGAUAAAAGGUACUCCGGGGAUAACAGGCUGAUACCGCCCAAGAGUUCAUAUCGACGGCGGUGUUUGGCACCUCGAUGUCGGCUCAUCACAUCCUGGGGCUGAAGUAGGUCCCAAGGGUAUGGCUGUUCGCCAUUUAAAGUGGUACGCGAGCUGGGUUUAGAACGUCGUGAGACAGUUCGGUCCCUAUCUGCCGUGGGCGCUGGAGAAUUGAGGGGGGCUGCUCCUAGUACGAGAGGACCGGAGUGGACGCAUCACUGGUGUUCGGGUUGUCAUGCCAAUGGCACUGCCCGGUAGCUAAAUGCGGAAGAGAUAAGUGCUGAAAGCAUCUAAGCACGAAACUUGCCCCGAGAUGAGUUCUCCCUGAGACUUUAAGUCUCCUGAAGGAACGUUGAAGACGACGACGUUGAUAGGCCGGGUGUGUAAGCGCAGCGAUGCGUUGAGCUAACCGGUACUAAUGAACCGUGAGGCUUAACCUU
rnacentral:rRNA from 1 species